CUCUUGGCAAGCAAUCACCGACUUCUCCCCUCAAGGUGCAUAAAGAACAAGAGCUACAGCUGCAAUGAAUUGUCCUACAAAACGAAUUGAGAGGGUGAUCAGGCACUGGAAUGGCCUGCUCGGGGAGGUGGUGAAGUCGCAGUCCCUGGCAGUGUUCAAGAGACAUCUGGAUGAGGAGCAACAAGGUUUCCAGCCUGUGCUGGGUUCAGUUUCAAGCUUUCAAUGAAGUCAAAGCAGAGAACAAAUUUAAAAAAAAACAUGCCAGUCUCCUACAAACCACAAGAACACAGGAUCUGGUGCUUUCCACACUGUCAAUAUGUCAAGACUUCAUAAAAUUUUAAAACUCUCAAUCCAGACUCCAUGCAGAAGAAUAAAACUUAUUUUCUCUUUUUUGGUUACAGAGUUCAGAAUGCAUUUGAGGAAUAUACAGCCCUCCUCACCAACCUUGAUUCAGUACUGUCAGAGUCUUGUUUAUAAAGAUAUAUAUAAAAUGUUGGAAACAUUGCUUCCUAUAUUAUAAUUGAAAUAUCUGCAAUUGUAGCAGAGCAGGUCUAAAAUGAGGACUAUUAUUACACAAUUCCAGCUUCAAUUAGCCAAGAAUAAUGUACCUCACAGUUUAUAGUACAUGGCAUUUUAUGGCAAAGAAUUGUUAAGAAAAGAACAAAGAACUUAGGAACUGAAAAGAAAGGCACAUGGUACGGGUACACUCCAGCAAAACCUAUCCACCAAAGAUCAUGCCAUAUACUGCAUAAUGAACACCGUCUGGAACUCAUGCACAGUGGAACAACUGGUGCAAUUCUUAGUUUACUGAAAAGCUUUGCAGAUGUUGGAACAACAUGGAAGACUCAGACUUUAAAAAGACAAAGACAAUUCAGGAACCCACAAACUUAAGGAGGCGAUUUCCACAACAUAUCUUUAAAAUUUAG
ensembl:lncRNA